AUAUCAAUUCAGUCCUUUAUCAUAAAGUCCAGUGCUUCUUCUGGGAAGGUGUGAGAGGAUUACUACUGGUCAGGGUUCCUUUCCUCUUCUCCAUCAUAGUUUUUCUUUAAAGGGAAAAACUAUCCUUAGUGUUUUGUUGGCACAGGUACCAUUGUUUAAUCUGUGCUUCCCUUGAUUCUGCUUUCUGGUAGCAUCAAUCCAUAUUAACAUAGGUUCCUGGUCACCUACAGGAAUAAAAAGACCCACUGUAUGGAGAUAGUGCCCUUCAGACUUCUCUGAUGUCCCAAAUUCUGCUAGUCAUCACACCUCCUCUGCUGCCAGAUAUGUUUCUAUAUGGAGGUGUGUGGGUCUGUGUGGAGAGAAAGUGAGCAGCUGAGAAGAACCAAACUACUGGAAACUCAAGGACCUGCAAAGGAAAGCUAAUUGCUGAAAAAGGAGGAUCUAGAG
rnacentral:lncRNA from 1 species